UACGGGGGGGGCAAGCGUUGUUCGGAAUUACUGGGCGUAAGGGGCUCGUAGGUGGCCAACUAAGUCAGACGUGAAAUCCCUCGGCUUAACCGGGGAACUGCGUCUGAUACUGGAUGGCUUGAGUUCGGGAGAGGGAUGCGGAAUUCCAGGUGUAGCGGUGAAAUGCGUAGAUAUCUGGAGGAACACCGGUGGCGAAGGCGGCAUCCUGGACCGACGCUGACACUGAGGAGCGAAAGCCAGGGGAGCAAACGGG
rnacentral:rRNA from 1 species